rnacentral:lncRNA from 1 species
AUUUUCCCAAUUUUUUGUUCCCCUGGAAAGAAAAGAUGGAUACUUGUUUAUGGAAGUUGUCAUUCUAUGGGGGAAGAUUGUCUUUCUUCAUUUUGAAGCCACUUUAAUUAUCUUGGUGUGCUUCGUUCCUCCGUGAAAAAGUCUCAGUUCAUUAUUUUAAAAACAAGAGUGCAUAGUGUUCCAAAACGAAGAUUACCAAGUUGUUUGGAGAGAAUUAAAUUGUGGCUUGACAUUCUCAAGUAAUUGUAGCAAAAUAAAAUGCUUUGGUCCUGCCGGUUAUCCCAACUCUAAAAAAAUUUGGUUUCAACUUUUGCUUUGAAAGAUUUUCCGAUAUGUUGGUUUGGAAGAAAAAAUUAUUUCAAUGAAAUCCUCUCUUAUUGAGUUGACAAUGUGUUUUUCCAAUUUUUGGUUCCCACAGGAAGAAAAGAUGG